UGGAACUCCAUGUGUAGCGGUGAAAUGCGUAGAUAUAUGGAAGAACACCAGUGGCGAAGGCGGCUGUCUGGUCUGUAACUGACGCUGAGGCUCGAAAGUAUGGGUAGCAAACAGGAUUAGAUACCCUGGUAGUCCAUACCGUAAACGAUGAAUGCUAAGUGUUGGAGGGUUUCCGCCCUUCAGUGCUGCAGCUAACGCAUUAAGCAUUCCGCCUGGGGAGUACGGCCGCAAGGCUGAAACUCAAAGGAAUUGACGGGGGCCCGCACAAGCGGUGGAGCAUGUGGUUUAAUUCGAAGCUACGCGAAGAACCUUACCAGGUCUUGACAUACUAUGCAAAUCUAAGAGAUUAGACGUUCCCUUCGGGGACAUGGAUACAGGUGGUGCAUGGUUGUCGUCAGCUCGUGUCGUGAGAUGUUGGGUUAAGUCCCGCAACGAGCGCAACCCUUAUUAUCAGUUGCCAGCAUUAAGUUGGGCACUCUGGUGAGACUGCCGGUGACAAACCGGAGGAAGGUGGGGAUGACGUCAAAUCAUCAUGCCCCUUAUGACCUGGGCUACACACGUGCUACAAUGGAUGGUACAACGAGUUGCGAACUCGCGAGAGUAAGCUAAUCUCUUAAAGCCA
rnacentral:rRNA from 2 species